GCACGGAUGGCCGAGUGGAUAAAGCAGUGGACUCCUUAUCAUUCGACUCCAAUACAGUGAGGUAGGUGGGUUCGAAUCCCGCUUGGGGCA
rnacentral:tRNA from 1 species